CUGGCUGUUGGAGGAAUGUGCGAGGAUCUCCGUGGCCGGUGUCUGAAGUCGUCAGUUUACUGCUUGUAAUGAACAUAGUGAUCACUGGGAACCUGGAAGUAGAGACUCCUUUGCGCCGUCCCGCCGUCCCUCUGGCUGCUGCGAAUCCCCCCGCCAGCCUCCAGGACCCCGGGCUGGCUCAACGCCCCCACCGGCCCCGCCGCCCCAGGGCCCGCUACGCGCCCGGCAUAAUGGGAGAAAAAUCAGGACGGAAAGGCCCAGCCCCUCGCCAUGCAGACGGGAAGCUCGGCCUGCACAUGCUCCUCAAGCCCCAGGUCUGUGCAGGGAUGAGCAAAACAGCAGAAUAUCCGCGCUACAUCUUUCUGGAGCACCCAUU
rnacentral:lncRNA from 1 species